rnacentral:rRNA from 1 species
UUGAUCCUGGCUCACGAUGAACACUAGNCGGGAGGCCUAAUACAUGCAAGUCGAACGGUAACAGGGCAGAACUUCGGUUCAGCCGCUGACGAGUGGCGCACGGGUGAGUAACGCGUACAUAACCUGCCUUCAAGAGAGGGAUAGCCCUGGGAAACUGGGAUUAAUACCUCAUAGAAUUGCUAAGUCGCAUGGCUGUGCAAUUAAAGCUUCGGCGCUUGAAGAUGGAUGUGCGUACCAUUAGCUAGUUGGUAAGGUAACGGCUUACCAAGGCAACGAUGGUUAGGGGGCGUGAGAGCGUGACCCCCCACACGGGUACUGAGACACGGACCCGACUCCUACGGGAGGCAGCAGUAAGGAAUAUUGGACAAUGGAGGCAACUCUGAUCCAGCCAUCCCGCGUGCAGGAUGAAUGCCCUACGGGUUGUAAACUGCUUUUAUUUGGGAAGAAACCUGGUCAUUUACUGAUCAGUUGACGGUACCUUAUGAAUAAGCACCGGCUAACUCCGUGCCAGCAGCCGCGGUAAUACGGAGGGUGCAAGCGUUAUCCGGAAUCACUGGGUUUAAAGGGAGCGUACGCGGCAUAAUAAGUCAGAGGUGACAGGCUGUAGCUUAACUAUGGAGUUGCCUUUGAUACUGUUAUGCUUGAAUCGAGUUGAGGUCAGCAGAAUGUGACAUGUAGCGGUGAAAUGCAUAGAUAUGUCAUAGAAUACCAAUUGUGAAGACAGCUGGCUGGACUUGUAUUGACGCUGAGGCU